AACUUUCAACAACGGAUCUCUUGGUUCCAGCAUCGAUGAAGAACGCAGCGAAAUGCGAUAAGUAAUGUGAAUUGCAGAAUUCCGUGAAUCAUCGAAUCUUUGAACGCACAUUGCGCCCUCUGGUAUUCCGGGGGGCAUGCCUGUUCGAGCGUCAUUGCAACCCUUCAAGCGCG
rnacentral:rRNA from 1 species